CAGAAUAGACAUGACGUGGAAGAGCCAGGAUUUGAACUAAGGGCUGUCCAUCUUCAGAAACUGAACUCUUGGCCAGGGUACUCACUGGGACGUGUCAGCCUUUUCUGUCAUCUUCUCCUUCCAACCAGAUGAUUCUUCUUUCACAGCUAAGCUCAGAACCUGUUGGCAAAUUGGGAGCUUCAGAGUCAGAAGGCCUGGUACGAUGCCUCCACAGCGUGGUUUGCUGAGUGGUGUGUAGGUCUCCACUCAGGAUCUGAACCGUGGACCCUGGGCUGCCAAAGUGGAGCGUGUGAGCUUAACUACUACACCACCAGAAGCACUAAGAGAACACAGGAAGAACACCUGAGGAGUUCCUCUGGGAGGGGAGUGGAGGAUCUCUCCCAGGAAGACUUUUUCAUGCAGGGGCCCUCACAUUCCUCAGAUCAUGGCCCUUUUCCAUCUUCAAAGCCCCGUAUGGCAAGUUGAGACCUCACAUCACAUCACUCCAAUCUUACAUUGUCAUCACAUCUUCUCUGGAACUGACUCACCUACCUCCCUCAUAUGAGGACCCUGGUGAUUACAUUGGACCCACUUGGAUAAUCCAGAAUAUGAUCCUACCUCAAGUUCGGCUGAUUCCAUUAAGGUUACGGCAAGUAAGGCAUCCAGGGUGCCCAAUUGAUGGAGGUGCCCGCCAUUAAGAUCAUGCAAGUACUGUCUGCAAUUUUACAACUGUGAGAUCAAGUGACCCUUAAAUUUUGUCCCCUAGGCACUGUAUUAGCCACACCCUUGUUCUGGCCAGCAUGUCAUCCAUGCAUACCUUCAUG
rnacentral:lncRNA from 1 species